GAGGGCUUUGGAGAAGUGCCCCGGCCUGGCAUGGUGCCCGCCUGCCGCACCAUCUAUUUAACCAGCCCGUCCCUGCCCACUCCCCAGCCAGCAGCUCACCCCGGCAUCUCCGCGGCCAGGGACAGAGCUGCAAACCCACCCCCGAGCCCUCUGCUGCCCAGGUGAGAAUUCCCUCUCCAGCCGACCCUGCCCCACGCCAGCCCCUGCCCCUGCCCCUGCCCAGCUGGGUUAAACCCAGUGCUUAGGGCAGGGGGAAGCCAGGCGGCGGGUGCCAGGGCCUCUGUCCAACUGGGGGACCACUGGGCAGGGUGGGAAGAGACUGGCUCUGGGAUUGUCCUCGAUCCAUGGCGGGGCUCAGCGGGCGACACUGCCAACCCUGCUCGCUCGGGCGGGCACUCCCCAGAGACUGCUGCACAACGCCACGGCCCCCUACAGAAUAUCGGGGCUUCCUAGUGUCGGAGAACCCAGCCCCACCCCUGCUCUAACCCCUGGAUCCAAAUCCCUUCCCAGAGCUGGGGGCAGAAAAGCAGACUUUGCUCUGUGAUGUUUCCUGUGUUCCAGGUUAGGUGGAUCUGUCGCGGCUCCGACACCAGCCCCCCCUUCUCUCCAGAGCCAUGGACGUUCGUCUUGUCUUGUGCCUCCUCUGGGCUCUCCUAGCUACAGCCCAUGCACGUCCUUCCAGCUGUUACCAGAGCACCCCCGGGGAAAGUAGCAUCGUGAGGAACUGUAGGAGUUGGGAAGAUUCUUGCAUCACUGCCCAGGAGGUGAACACUAUCGGGGGCGUGGUGAACACGGGCAUCUUCCAGUCCUGCACCCUCAGCUGGUUGAGCCUGGAGGGUGACCUGGACUUCGAGUUCGGGGGCGGCGUCUACGUGAGGAUCCACUCUGAGCUGUGCAGAGAGACCAACUGCAACACGGGGGCGUUCAAGGAACGCCCCCAAAUCAGCACCGUGCCCAAUGGAAGACAGUGCCCGUCGUGCUAUGCCCCAGGAUCCCACCGCUGCCUCCACAACAAGAUCCUGCACUGCCAGGGGGCUGCCAACCACUGCGUUGACGUCACCGGGAUGCUGUCAGAGAAAAACACCAACACCGAAAUCCCUUUCGCAGCCAGAGGAUGCGCCACCAAGGAUGUGGCCAAGAUCAAAGCUGGGAUGGGCCUGGAGUCGGGCGUAUACAUCUAUCAAAUCGCGACCAUCCAGUUAAGCCCGGCCCCCAAAAUGGAGACAGUGGACGGCUUCUGAUGCCCUGCUGAGCUCCAUCCCACUGGCACGCCCCCGCUUCGAGCUAUUCCCUCCCACUCCACCCCCAGGCCUGUCCGGGGCUGGCCCCCCAGCUGUGACUCAGUUUUCCCCCACCCAAGGGGGAAUAAGGGUGCCAAGCCCCCUUCAUAAAGCGCUUUGAGACCCAUGGGUCCAGGGCACAAGCCAGAGACCCAUUAUGGGCUUUGCACUAAGCGUGACGAGCUUAAAAACAGGCCUGAGUAUUAGAGACCCAUUAGCAGCUUCUCCCCAGAGCGUGCUCUGAGGGGUAAAGCCCAGGUGUCCUGGCUCCCAGCCCCCACUGCUCUAACCCACCAGCCCCCACUCCCCUCCCAGAGCUAGAGAGAGAACCCAGGAGUCCUGGCUCCCAGCCCCCCUGCUCUAACCACUAGUCCCCACUCCCUCCCAGAUCCAAGAACAGAACCCAGGCAUCCUGCCACCCCUCCACCCUCUGUUCUCACCCUCUGUAUUUCCACAUGCUAAUGCAUUGAAUAAAGCUGCAUCAUAAAUCCA
rnacentral:lncRNA from 1 species